rnacentral:rRNA from 1 species
UGAGGAACAUGACCUUCGGCGGGGGAUAGCCGGCCCAACGGCCGGGUAAUACCGCGUACGACCACUUUGGGACAUCCCUCGGUGGUGAAAGCAGCAAUGCGCCGAUGGAGUGCCUCGCGGCCUAUCAGCUAGUUGGUGAGGUAACGGCUCACCAAGGCGACGACGGGUAGCUGGUCUGAGAGGAUGGCCAGCCACAUUGGGACUGAGACACGGCCCAGACCUCCUACGGGAGCAG